CGUGGCUUUGGAAUCCCAUUUUGGGGAUUAUAUAUUUUAACUAAAACACAAGUGAAAUGAUCCACAUUUUAGCAUCAAGAGAAACCAUAUAUUUCACUCUCUUAAGGCUCCUAGCACAAAUUCAGAGAGAGAGAGAGGAGAAUAAUACAAAGUAAUCAAUUGAGUUCAAAAGAGAAAAACAAAGAAAAAAUUCCAUGUUAAUAAGUUAAUAUGCAUAAUAGAAAAGAUAUCAUGAACCCACUACACUCGAGCAUUCAUAUAACACACAAUUUGUCCUAAAUCAACAUUUAACUAAGCCAAAAAGAAAACAACAACAACAACAACAACAUAACCUUUUAUUAGGACAUUAGUUUAAAUCAAAAAACUUAACAAAAAAAAAAAUAGCGUCAAAAUUGAAAAAUCGAGACCACAAAAUCUUCAAAAAGUGAGAAAGAUUUAAAAUUUGUAGCAUAAGAGACAUUCAAACUGAAACAUCAAAGUAAACCUAUCCAACCCAGUUCACUAAACAAACUUAAAACCCCAAAUUUAAAGAGCGAGCCUAAGGAAUAGAAGCUAGUAAAGCAAAACCCAACUAAAAAUUAAAUCCAAGAGUUCAAAAAAAAAAAAGAACACGUACCAACAGUGACUUCAAAAUCAAUUAUGAUAAUGAAAAUCAGAGAUGGGAGAGAAGGCUAGAUGGUAGGUAUUUCGGUGGUGGAAGCAGUUGAUGUGUGAACUGACAGAAAUGGCGGGAAAUAUCGAGAUUAGGGUAAAGAACUCGGAUCAGUAUCAGGUUCGGAUCAAAU
rnacentral:lncRNA from 1 species